rnacentral:piRNA from 8 species
GUUUCGUACGUAGCAGAGCAGCUCCC